ACGGAAGGCAGCAGUAGGGAAUAUUGGUCAAUGGGGGAAACCCUGAACCAGCGACGCCGCGUGAGUGAAGAAGUAUUUCGGUAUGUAAAGCUCUAUCAGCAGGGACGAUAAUGACGGUACCUGACUAAGAAGCCCCGGCUAACUACGUGCCAGCAGCCGCGGUAAUACGUAGGGGGCAAGCGUUAUCCGGAUUUACUGGGUGUAAAGGGAGCGUAGGUGGCCAUGCAAGUCAGAUGUGAAAUCCCGGGGCUCAACCCCGGAGCUGCAUUUGAAACUGCGUAGCUAGAGUGCAGGAGAGGUAAGCGGAAUUCCUAGUGUAGCGGUGAAAUGCGUAGAUAUUAGGAGGAACAUCAGUGGCGAAGGCGGCUUACUGGGCUUUAACUGACGCUGAGGCUCGAAAGCGUGGGGAGCAAACAGGAUUAGAUACCCUGGUA
rnacentral:rRNA from 1 species